rnacentral:rRNA from 1 species
AUUGAACGCUGGCGGCAUGCCUUACACAUGCAAGUCGAACGGUAACAGGUCUUCGGAUGCUGACGAGUGGCGAACGGGUGAGUAAUACAUCGGAACGUGCCUAGUAGUGGGGGAUAACUACUCGAAAGAGUGGCUAAUACCGCAUGAGAUCUACGGAUGAAAGCAGGGGAUCGAAAGACCUUGCGCUACUAGAGCGGCCGAUGGCAGAUUAGGUAGUUGGUGGGAUAAAAGCUUACCAAGCCGACGAUCUGUAGCUGGUCUGAGAGGACGAUCAGCCACACUGGGACUGAGACACGGCCCAGACUCCUACGGGAGGCAGCAGUGGGGAAUUUUGGACAAUGGGCGCAAGCCUGAUCCAGCAAUGCCGCGUGCAGGAUGAAGGCCUUCGGGUUGUGAACUGCUUUUGUACGGAACGAAAAGCCCUGGGUUAAUACCCUGGGGUCAUGACGGUACCGUAAGAAUAAGCACCGGCUAACUACGUGCCAGCCGCCGCCGUAA